rnacentral:rRNA from 1 species
AGUGAACGCUGGCGGUAGGCCUAACACAUGCAAGUCGAACGGCAGCACAGUAAGAGCUUGCUCUUACGGGUGGCGAGUGGCGGACGGGUGAGGAAUACAUCGGAAUCUACUUUUUCGUGGGGGAUAACGUAGGGAAACUUACGCUAAUACCGCAUACGACCUACGGGUGAAAGCAGGGGAUCUUGGGACCUUGCCCAAUGAAUGAGCCGAUGUCGGAUUUGCUAGUUGGCGGGGUAAAGGCCCACCAAGGCGACGAUCCGUAGCUGGUCUGAGAGGAUGAUCAGCCACACUGGAACUGAGACACGGUCCAGACUCCUACGGGAGGCAGCAGUGGGGAAUAUUGGACAAUGGGCGCAAGCCUGAUCCAGCCAUACCGCGUGGGUGAAGAAGGCCUUCGGGUUGUAAAGCCCUUUUGUUGGGAAAGAAAAGCAGCAGGUUAAUACCCCGCUGUUCUGACGGUACCCAAAGAAUAAGCACCGGCUAACUUCGUG